UACAGGAGGGGCAAGCGUUGUCCGGAAUCAUUGGGCGUAAAGCGCGUGUAGGCGGUCCGGUAAGUCCGCUGUGAAAGUCCGGGGGCUCAACCCUGGAAUGCCGGUGGAAACUGUCGGGCUGGAGUCCGGAAGAGGCGAGUGGAAUUCCGUGGUGGUAGCGGUGAAAAUGCGCAGAUAUCAAGGAGGAACACCAAUGGCGAAGGGCAG
rnacentral:rRNA from 1 species